UGGUAGCAGGUGAUGAACAUCGAAUUACACGGCUGUGUGUGUGCGAGUGUGUGACGUCCUGACAGCAGGAGGCCCAUCGACACUCACACCCCCACCUGCUUUCCUUUGGGGAGAGAGCAGAUCCUCAGGAGUGGAAGAGCUGCUUUCAUCUUUUCUUCUGCAGCUUUUUCAUCGUGUUCCUCCCAGCUGGAAGGAAUCUGUGAUCCUACGGUUCUGUCCCAUCAAACCAAGAGAUGGAACGAUAAGGAGGAGAGGAGCUCAGGUGAUAAAAGACUCGUGAAGGCCUGAAGGACGCGGUGAACAGGUCAAUCCUGAACUGACUCGGAGAACUUAAAAUUACCCAGGAUGCAUCAGAGGCGUCACAGUGCAGCCAUGUUUAGAAGAAACAUGCACCCUGCUGGGUCUGAACUCUGAAUCUCCUCUAAAGUUCUGAAGAUGAUUUCUGGGUAAAAAGUGAAAUUUGGCCCCAUUUCAUUUCCACUGAGGAUUAAAAAAUGUAAAAAAUGUUGUUUAUUUGUUCAAACUCCAUCUGAUAAACCUGAAAUCUCUCAGCCAACACCGAGUAUCAGCUGUAAAAUCUCUCUAUUGAGUGUCUUCUAGAUGUUCCUAAUAGCAAACAGGAUCAUCAAAAUGAUCCUAACAGGACGCUGAAGCCAGGAGAGACUGAUGAGUUAAAACUGCAAAGAAACACAGAGAGAAGACAAAAACUACAAUCAUCUAAUGUGUUUCUGAAGCCUGCAGCUAAAAGGCUCUUUGUAACAAGGUGACUGCAGAUUAACACGGAACUACUCAGGCAUCUGCAAACACACACACACACACACACACACCUACAGCCUUUAUCUGUGCAUCCAUUCACACCACACCAGCUUAUAGUACAAAUAGGAGGGCAGCGCACGCACGCACGCACGCACGCACGCACGCACGCACGCACGCACGCACGCACGCACGCACGCACGCACGCACGCACGCACGCACGCACGCACGCACGCACGCACGCACGCACGCACACACACACACACACACACACACACACACACACACACACACACACACACACACACACACACACACACACACACACACACACACACACACACACACACACACACACACACACACACACACACACACACACACACACACACACACACACACACACACACACACACACACACACACACACACACACACACACACACACACACACACACACACACACACACAGCUGCUUUCACUCUCAGCUCCACAGCAGCACCUGCUGGACAUUUGUUCUGAACCCACUCUGAUCCUGCAGGAAACAGUUCAUCACACCCAAAACACACAACAAGCCCAAACACGAGGCCUCGCACAUGAAAAAAAACUGCAUGCUGCAAAAACAAUUCCUGCACACAGAGACGGAUCGGGCAGCAAACAUGCUGCUUUCCAUGUACAUUAUGCAUGCACAUGAGAACACACAGUCAGGUGAGCACAGCCUGAAGUGAUUUAUGAGUGUGUGGCUCGGGUCUGCAUGAUUUAUCCUUCUAAAGCUCCGCUGUGCACCUGAGGGACUCAGCCCUCUGCUGCACCAAUGCGCUGCAUGAAGGCUUGUUAGUCGGAAAGCAGAGGAGGAAAGUCCUUCUGCGAAUAAAGAGAUUUGUU